CAUGGAACAACAACAAUAACAAAUAUAUAUAUAUAUAUGUGUGUGUGUGUGCGUGUGUGUGUUUAUAUAUAUAUGUAUAUAUAUAUAUAUAUAUACACUGAAACAUAUAUA
rnacentral:miRNA from 1 species